CAGGGAGAGUGGGAUCGUGUGCACCCUCAUCGUGUGUGCAGGCGAUACUGAGCUGAGUGGUGCAGGUGAGGCGUUAGAGGGAAGGGAUGCUAUCCAGAGGGACGUGGAGAGCCUUAGAGGUGGGCCCAUGCCACCGUGAGGAAGUUCAGCGAGGCCGAGAGCAAGGCCCUGCAUUUGGGUUCGGGGUGAUCUCAAGCACUGACGUGGGUUGGGUGGAGAAUGGCUGGAGAGCGGCCCCGUGGAGAAGGAUUUGGGAGUGUGGACUGCUGAGAGAUUGAGCGCGAGCUGGCAAGGUGUGCUCGCUGCCCAGAAGGCCAAGCGUAGCCUGGGUUGCGUGAAGAGGAAGAAGCGUGGAAGUGGGAGAGUGUAUGUUUAGACCAGGUGUUGGGAAGAAGUUCCUUACUGUGAGGCUGCCAUGGCAGACGUUUUCUUUGGAAUAUACAAGUGGUGUUCCAGGUAUCCUGUCAGGUCUUCAACAGUCACAUCAUCGACAUAGGUGGGAGCCUCCUCAGAAUAGGAUGUGGGAGAAGUCCACGAGGCUGUUUCACAGAGGGGUCUGUUAAGCGUGGAUAAGGAGAAACAAGCUGAGGUUUGGCUGUUGUGUGAGUCAGAGUGGAAGGAUGAGGGCAGAGCGAGGCAGUUCUCCCGUGACAGAGCGCAGUGUCUCCUGGUGGCGGCAGAAAUCCCCACCGUGCUCAGUGCUGUUCCCUGCCACCACGUCAGCCCACAUCCCCUGCUGGGGACAGCGUGCUGCCAGCAUAUGCCGGGUCACCUGCUGUCCGUGGGGACCGGGUAACGGCACGGAGCAGUGUGAGGACUGCAGCCCCGCUUAGCAGUGUGCCCCGUGGAUGUGGGGCUGCCCCAUGGCUGUGGCCGCUGCAGUGAGGGCUCCUGCGUGGGGCUGCGGUGUGUGCCUGCCUGCCUGCCUGCCAUCCCAGGGUGGGCCGGGAGAGGAGAGCAGCUGAGCUGGCAUGGUGCCUGCGCCUGGGGAGCUAUUUGGAGAUGCGUUUGAUGUCUCCGCCGCAAGGGUGAUGGAUGCUGGGGCGAACGUCGUGAUGGCACAGCCAACGCUCUGUGCUGGGCUUUGAAGUCUCCCGAGCGGAGCAUCCCAGCUCGCAGAUUUGGGAAGACAUGGACUACGGGGCAGGAGAUGCUACUUGCCAAGGCGGCUACGUGAGGAGCAGCCUCAGAGCUCAACAUCCCAGCUGCACCCUGCUCCAGGAGGACGCAGGAGUUCCCCGUCAGCUGUCCCUUCCUCCGCAUCUCUGUCACUGUGUCCCCGGUGUGCAGACCCCGGUGAGAUGCCGCCACGCACCGUGGGCUCCUGAAGCCAUGGAGCAGCACAGACCCAAGGAGGAGGACGAGCAGGCUGAGUGCGUAAACGUGGGAGGAUACAGGACAGGAGACCCGGAACGUCCGUGCCGUGAGAGACCGGCCGGUCCUCCUGCAGUCCUCUCACACCUGCAGGGUCAGAACAGGUGAACAGACUGAGACGGCUGUUGGUGUGCAGUCCCUGACAGGAGCAGCGGAAGAGCCUUAAGGAAGCGGGGCUCUCCCAGAAGAGAGAGGCACGCAAACACUGCUGCUGUAAAGCUUCAGGUGAUGGGCUGCGACAAUUGCGUGUGCAGCCCUGAGCUCCUCUGCACUCAGCGGUGAGAAACGGGACCCGCCAGAGAUCUGUCAGAGCGCUCCGUCUCUGCUGAGCGCGGUACCGACAGCCGCGCACCGCUCCGCGCCACUCACCGCGCCGCGUCCACCCGCAGCUCCUGGAGGGCCGUCCGCAGGCUGCGCUCCUCCUCGUCCUCGUCGUCGUCGUCCUCGUCCUCGUCGUCGUCCUGCUGCUGCUGCUGCUGCUCCUCCUCGUCCUCGUGCCGCCUGUUUGCAAGCCAAGGACACGUGAAAGGAACGUCAGCGGGACUGAGGCGGAGCUGCACCCAGCCUGUGGUGGGCGACCCAAUAAAAGCCAACUGUUUCGUAA